rnacentral:rRNA from 1 species
UACGAAGGGGCUAGCGUUGCUCGGAAUUGACUGGGCGUAAAGCGCACGUAGGCGGCUUGUUAAGAUCGGACGUGAAAUCCCAGCUCAACCCUGGGAACUGCGUCCGAUACUGGAUGGCUUGAAUCCGGGAGAGGGAUGCAGAAUUCCAGGUGUGAGCGGUGAAAUGCGUAGAUAUACUGGAGGAAUACCGGUGGGCGAAGG